rnacentral:rRNA from 1 species
AAAUUAGAGUGUUCAAAGCAGGCAGAUCCAAUUUUCUGCCACCGAAUACAUUAGCAUGGGAUAAUGGAAUAGGACCCUGUCCUCCUAUUUUCAGUUGGUUUUGGCAGCGCGAGGACUAGGGUAAUGAUUAAUAGGGAUAGUUGGGGGCAUUAAUAUUUAAUUGUCAGAGGUGAAAUUCUUGGAUUUAUGAAAGAUUAACUUCUGCGAAAGCAUCUGCCAAGGAUGUUUUCAUUAAUCAAGAACGAAAGUUAGGGGAUCGAAGACGAUCAGAUACCGUCGUAGUCUUAACCAUAAACGAUGCCGACCAGCGAUUAGGAGACGUUGAAUACAAAACACCACCAUCGGUGCGGUCGUCCUUGGCGUCGGUUUCGGCCGGCGCGGGGGCGGCUUAGCCCGGUGGCACCGGUGAAUGACUCC